GCAAGUCGAGCGCGAAAGUUCUUCGGAGCGAGUAGAGCGGCGGACGGGUGAGUAACGCGUAGGAAUCUACCCAGUGGUGGGGGACAACAGUCGGAAACGGCUGCUAAUACCGCAUACGCCCUACGGGGGAAAGCGGGGGACCUUCGGGCCUCGCGCCAUUGGAUGAGCCUGCGUCGGAUUAGCUAGUUGGUGGGGUAAAGGCCCACCAAGGCGACGAUCCGUAGCUGGUCUGAGAGGACGAUC
rnacentral:rRNA from 1 species